UUAUAUGGUCAAGAAGAGAAGCGCAAACGGUGGAUGCCUUGGCAGUAAGAGGCGAAGAAGGACGUGGAAUCCUGCGAAAAGCUAUGGGGAGCUGGAAACGAGCGUUGAGCCAUAGAUGUCCGAAUGGGGGAACCCGGCUGCAGCGAUGCGGUCAUUUGCAUUUGAAUACAUAGGAUGCAAAGGCGAACUCGGGGAACUGAAACAUCUAAGUACCCGAAGGAAAAGAAAUCAAGAGAGAUUCUCCAAGUAGCGGCGAGCGAACGGGGAGGAGCCUGGCGUGAUUUAUUAUUGAACUGAGUAGAACAAUUUGGGAAAGUUGGCCGAAGAGGGUGAAAGCCCCGUAUACGAAGGUUUGAUGAGGAACUAGGCACGCGAACAAGUAGGCCGGGACACGUGAAAUCCUGGUUGAAGAUGGGUGGACCAUCAUCCAAGGCUAAAUACUACUUACUGACCGAUAGUGAACCAGUACCGUGAGGGAAAGGUGAAAAGAACCCCGGAGAGGGGAGUGAAAUAGAAUCU
rnacentral:rRNA from 1 species